GUCGAAGAUGUUAGCAUGACGUAAGGAGAUUAGAUUUGAUUUUUUUAAAGUUAAGAUCAUAUCUGGAUUUUGUUGAUCAAAACACAAAAAUUGUCACCGAAGGAAUCGUGGCCGAUGACAAGGCAUCCGCGCGCACUCUGCUCAGCUCAGCUCGAAGAGAAGGACUGUGAUUGUCAGCAGUCAAUUGGACCUGCCGCUCCGUGACCACGCGUACGAGAGACCAAUCCAAUCCUCGGGCAAGCCUCAGCUCCGUGCACGCCCACUCCUUCGUGAGGACCAUUACCCCGCACGCUCCCAUCCGAACCCUAGCCUUAGCAACCCGGCGCUUGCCAUGCUCUCCACGGCAUCAGCGGCGUAUUCCACCUCCUUUGCCGCCUUUCCCACCCUCGCGCGGCACAGCCGCCGGUGCCGCCGCGUUCUGCUCNNNN
rnacentral:lncRNA from 1 species